rnacentral:rRNA from 1 species
GACGAACGCUGGCGGCGUGCUUAACACAUGCAAGUCGAACGGAAAGGCCCUGCUUUUGUGGGGUGCUCGAGUGGCCAACGGGUGAGUAACACGUGAGUAACCUGCCCCUGACUUUGGGAUAACUUCAGGAAACUGGGGCUAAUACCGGAUAGGAGCUCCUGCUGCAUGGUGGGGGUUGGAUAGUUUCGGCGGUUGGGGAUGGACUCGCGGCUUAUCAGCUUGUUGGUGGGGUAGUGGCUUACCAAGGCUUUGACGGGUAGCCGGCCUGGGAGGGUGACCGGCCACAUUGGGACGGGGCUACGGCCCAGACUCCUACGGGAGGCAGGGGUGGAGAAGAUUGCACAAUGGGCGGAAGCAUGAUGCAGCAACGCCGCGUGCGGGAUGACGGCCUUCGGGUUGGAAACCGCUUUCGCCUGUGACGAAGCGUGAGUGACGGUAAUGGGUAAAGAAGCACCGGCUAACUACGUG